CGUGCGCUUCUGCAUGUGAUUGAGAGCUUGACUUUGAACACAUUGCAUCUGAAUCUGGUUUUGAAAUCGAUUUUAGGACACUGGCUGCAUUUACAUGGACCGUAAUAAUCAGAUUGUAAUCGGAAUUAAAAUGUAACAAUGUCAGUCGGUAUGAAUUUGCCAAAUCCAUUUAAUUUUAUUCAGAUUGUAAGGGCUGAUCUAAACCUUUUCUAAUCUGAUCGAGAGGACAUGUAAACACCUGAUCGGAUUGAAAAGAGAAACUUAAAGUACUGUGCGUGUGCAAUGGUGUAAUGAUGUGAGGAACGAGCUGUUGUUGUUGAAUGACUGUCGUGUCAUUCUAAAAUUUUCCUUCCACUCAUUGUCUGUGAAGUGGAGCAGGACAACGUCCCACAAGUCCUUGUUUUGUACUUUCAUCCACAGACUCCUUGUUUUGGGCACAGGAAUGGGCGUUUUUACUGCUUGAUAAAUAUAAGCGUCACAUGCUCAUUGUCUCCUAAUUAGGACACGAAAUAGAUAAAUAUCAAGUCUGCUCUUUAAAACAAAGAAAAGAAGCAA